UACGUAGGGUGCAAGCGUUGUCCGGAAUUACUGGGCGUAAAGCGUGCGCAGGCGGCUUUGCAAGACAGAUGUGAAAUCCCCGGGCUUAACCUGGGAACUGCAUUUGUGACUGCAUGGCUGGAGUGCGGCAGAGGGGGAUGGAAUUCCGCGUGUAGCAGUGAAAUGCGUAGAUAUGCGGAGGAACACCGAUGGCGAAGGCAAUCCCCUGGGCCUGCACUGACGCUCAUGCACGAAAGCGUGGGGAGCAAACAGG
rnacentral:rRNA from 1 species